GACGAACGCUGGCGGCGUGCUUAACACAUGCAAGUCGAACGGAAAGGCCCUGCUUUUGUGGGGUGCUCGAGUGGCGAACGGGUGAGUAACACGUGAGUAACCUGCCCUUGACUUUGGGAUAACUUCAGGAAACUGGGGCUAAUACCGGAUAGGAGCUCCUGCUGCAUGGUGGGGGUUGGAAAGUUUCGGCGGUUGGGGAUGGACUCGCGGCUUAUCAGCUUGUUGGUGGGGUAGUGGCUUACCAAGGCUUUGACGGGUAGCCGGCCUGAGAGGGUGACCGGCCACAUGGGGCCUGAGAUACGGCCCAGACUCCUACGGGAGGCAGCAGUGGGGAAUAUUGCACAAGGGGCGGAAGCCUGAUGCAGCAACGCCGCGUGCGGGAUGACGGCCUUCGGGUUGUAAACCGCUUUCGCCUGUGACGAAGCGUGAGUGACGGUAAUGGGUAAAGAAGCACCGGCUAACUACGC
rnacentral:rRNA from 1 species